rnacentral:lncRNA from 11 species
GGCAGAAUUUUGGAUAAGCAAAUAUGUUGGAUAAUAAGGAGAGAUUAAGGAAAAGCCUAUUAAACAUCAAAUUAGGUUAUGAUUUUACAAAUUAAGCACCAAAACAUCAUGUUAUACAACAAAUUUGACAGAAAAAGUAAUUCAAUACACAGUAAUGCUAUGUAGUAAUUACUGUAUUUAUGAAUUUAGCUCCAAAAUAUCAUGAUGUAUUGAAAACAUUGACUACAAAAAUGCGUUGGAUAAUCCAGAACGUUGGAUAAGCGAGUGUUGGAUAAGUGAGAUUCUACUGUAAUGUUAUGGUUGGGGGUCACCACUAUAAGGGGUCUUGGCAUUAGGAAAGUUGAGAACCAAUGCUCUAAUGGCUCAUGAUUUCUGUGCCUAUCCAUCUCACCCAGAAGAACUCCAAUGAUUCUGUUUUUCUAUGCUCAUUGAUUCGUCUCUGUUGCAGUCGGUGAGCAAAUGAGAUGGUUCUCCAGAGAUUAUUGACAUCUGGUGUGAACUAUCCUUUCACUUAGAACACAUCCUUCUAAUCGCUCGUGAUUUCUGUGCUUAUCCGUUUCACCCAAGGCCCAGAAAUGAUGUGCCCAAAGAGGUGCAAAGGUUCAUCUUACAUCACCAGCAUUGUAUUUCUCAUAAUACCGGCCAGACGGGACAACGACCCAAAGGCUUCCCGUUCUGCUGACUCAGGCCUCCUCUCGUGACUCAACGGACGGCACCACAAUGUUUUUGCAUUUCAUUUGUGUGCCUACGUGCGUGCGUGAGCACCGAGGGAGCACCAAGGGAAGUCCCUCCAAUGGCAGAAAACCAGCGUUAACUGUUGCACAUGUUGUUGUGACACAUGCCCUCGGGGCUAGCGGUCGCGCAUGAUUGAAUCACGGCGGGAUAAGAGAUCCUGGGUGCCGACAGAUGGCUUGCGUUGUCAGGAGCAACUUGAGAAACUGCAAGCCACUUCUGGUGUGCGAGAAUUGGCCAUCUGCAAGGACAUUACCCAGGGGACGCAUUGAUGUUUUGAUGUUUUUACCAUUCUUGUGGGAGGCUUCUCUCAUGUCCCCGCAUGGAGCUGGAGCUGAUAGAGGGAGCUCAUCCACGCUUUCCCCGGGUUGGAUUCGAACUUGGCAGCCUUCAGGUCAGCAACCCAACCUUUAAGUCACAAGGCUUUAAUCCACUAGGCCAUCGGGGGCUCCUAAUAUUAUGUUGUUGUUGUUGUUGUUGUUGUUGUAUGACACAGCAAACAAGAUAGAUAUGCUGGAUUUCGUAUCACAAAAUCACAAGUCAAACACUUCCCAAGUGUCUAGGACUGUGUGAUGUAUUUUUAUUAUUAUUAUUGGCUCUUUUGCACUUCCAGGUUCAAGGCAAGUUGCAAAGGUUUAAAUGGAUGCAAUUCUAACAUUCAUAUCAUUCAGAUAUUCUGUGUUGUAGUUUCAUAUUCAUAAUCCAGAUGCAUUGAUUCCCAAACUUAUUUCUUCCAGAUGUUUUUGCCUCAGCUGCUUUAGCCAACAAUUAGGGACUCCUUGGCUUGGAGUCCAAAAAGCUAGAAGGCCAGAGUUUGGGAAACACUCAGUCAGAGGGCUGGUGUGUGUCUUCCAGGCUGUAUGGCCAUGUUCCAGAAGUAUUCUCUCCUGACAUUUCGCCCACAUCUAUGGCAGGAAUCCUCAGAGGUUGCCAUCAGAACUGGUGGGAUCACAAGCUGGAAAAAGUUACAGAGAAUGAACAGGUCAAGAUACUCUGGGACUUCUGAAUUCAGACAGACAGAGUGUUGGAGCACAAGACUCCUGACCUCACGAUCAUGUUAAAAGACAAAGUAUGGAUUGUCAAUGUUGCAAUCCUAGGGGACAGCAGUAUUGAGGAGAAACAACUGGAAAAGGUGACAUGAUAUGAGGAUUUAAAGAUCGAAUUGCAA